CCUACGGGAGUCAGCAGUGAGGAAUAUUGGUCAAUGGGCGCGAGCCUGAACCAGCCAAGUCGCGUGAGGGAUGAAGGUUCUAUGGAUCGUAAACCUCUUUUAUAAGGGAAUAAAGUGUGGGACGUGUCCUAUUUUGUAUGUACCUUAUGACUAAGGAUCGGCUAACUCCGUGCCAGCCGCCGCGGUAAUACGGGGGAUCCGAGCGUUCUCCGGAUUUAUUGGGUUUAAAGGGUGCGUAGGCGGCCUUAUAAGGCAGCGGUGAAAGUCUGUGGCUCAACCAUCGAAUUGCCGUUGAAACUGGUGGGCUUGAGUAUGUUAGAGGCAGGCGGAAUGCGUGGUGUAGCGGUGAAAUGCUUAGAUAUCACGCAGAACCCCGAUUGCGAAGGCAGCAUGCCAGGCCAUGACUGACGCUGAUGCACGAAAGCGUGGGGAUCAAACAGGAUUAGAUACCCUUGUAGUC
rnacentral:rRNA from 1 species